UUGAAGGAAACCCAUCCCUUGCACUUUCACUAGCAACUCAAAUAUCCUUUAAAUUACUCUCUCGUUCCAGCCUAUCCAUGAAGUUUCAAGUAUACAACAAGAGACCACCAUUCAAAGAACUCUUCCCCUACACAGACAUCACAAGGCUUUGUGACCAGGGGGAUUAGCGCUGCUUUCCCAAGACAGGUUUUUAUGUGUAUGAUCUUCAGGCUUUGCCUAUCCAGGUUGAGCAGCUGAUGGAAUGGAAUGGUGUUGAGCGGGUGUUCCUUUGAUCGUUUCAAGAAAUGUAACCUUGAGUAUACAUCUUCAUAUGUAUAUCUCACACGUUUUCCGCUGCAAAAUACUUUGAUUAGGAUAGCUCUAUGUUAUGAAGUUGGGAUACGUGUUAUUGGGUAGCCCACCUUAAUCAGUUCUCAUUUAUGUGUAUGUUUUAUAAGUAUCCAAAUAAUCAUAUAUGAUCCUAGCAUUUUAUCUA